rnacentral:sRNA from 20 species
ACGCCCAGUGGUAAAAACAUAUUAAUUUCACCAUAAUUACAUUAAAUUAGUUAUUAAAUAGGAAUUAUGGUAUAAU